UCCCUGGUGGACUAGUGGUUAGCAUGCGGGACUCUCAUCGCCGUCGUCUGGGUUUGAUUCCUGGUUAGGGAA